rnacentral:rRNA from 1 species
CCUACGGGUGGCAGCAGUGAGGAAUAUUGGUCAAUGGGCGCGAGCCUGAACCAGCCAAGUAGCGUGAAGGAUGACUGCCCUACGGGUUGUAAACUUCUUUUAUAAAGGAAUAAAGUGAGGCACGUGUGCCUUUUUGUAUGUACUUUCUGAAUAAGGAUCGGCUAACUCCGUGCCAGCAGCCGCGGUAAUACGGAGGAUCCGAGCGUUAUCCGGAUUUGUUGGGUUUAAAGGGAGCGUAGAUGGGUUGUUAAGUCAGGUGGGAAAGUUUGCGGCUCAACCGUAAAAUUGCAAUUGAUACUGGCAGUCUGGAGUACAGUUGAGGUAGGCGGAAUUCGUGGUGUAGCGGUGAAAUGCUUAGAUAUCACGAAGAACUCCGAUUGCGAAGGCAGCUUACUAAACUGCGACUGACAUUGAUGCUCGAAAGUGUGGGUAUCAAACAGGAUUAGAUACCCUGGUAGUC